GUGGGAGUUUGCACAGCACUUUGCCGUUGCUGAGGCUGGCUUUGAACUUGUGAUCUCCUGCCUCAGCCUCCCGAGCCACUGGGAUGACAGGUGUGGGCCACUGAGGCUGGCUUCGUCUUUUCUCUUGACUGGGUCUAGCUGAUCAGCAGCUUCUCCACCCUGUGAGGCUGCAGUGCUCCAGUAGAUCCUGAGCACCUCACAAGAAAAGGAGAGACAGAAAAGCAACAGGCGGGGCCCGGUGGCGCUCGCUCGGGAGGCUGAGGCAGGAGGAUGGCAAAUUCAAAGCCAGCCUCAGCAACUUAGCAAGGCCCUGUCUCAAAAUAGAAUGAUUUUUAAGAAAGGGCUAAGAAUGUGACUCUGUGGUUAAGUGUCCCUGGGUUCAAUUCCUGGUACCGGGGGCCGGAGCAGGGGGUGGGGGGAACAAAACAGAAACAACAGAAGCAGACAAGACACAGUGUUAUGAUAAACACCCAGUACCCACCGUCCUAUCUCAGUCCUACUGAACACAAAACAGGGACGUAGGGUCAGCAGCUUCCAACAAGAAAAACAAUCAAUAGCCCAGAACUGGCUACAACAUUUAAGUAAACAGUAGGUGUCAACUCUGCCAUCCCUGGUACUAAUGACUCUUGACAACAUGAGUGGUGUUGGGUGAGGAACUGUAGACACUAGUUCCAAACAGUGGUAAAAUAUAGUUCAUUAAGAGAAGGGAGAAUGUGUGGGGAAGGUAGAAGAAAGUUUGGGAUGUUUAAAAUGGGAACAAAGAGACUGCAAAAGAGAUGUGACAAGUGAUUCUGGCUGUGCCUGGUGGCCCACGCUGUCAUCCCAGUGGCUCGGGAGGCUGAGGCAGGAGAUCACACGUUCAAAGCCAGCCUCAGCAGCAGCAAAGUGCUACGCACACUCCGACCCUGUCUCUCAAUGAAGCACAGCAUCGGGUGGGGACAGGGGAUCUGCUACUGGAGGGAGAGGAAAGGAGACAAAGAGGAACAAACCCCAAACUCUGACCCCGGAAAGACAGGCAGAGAGCUCAGAGAUGCGGCCACGAGGAAGACGGAAGCCGUGAGUGUGCAUGUGCGGGACCAGCAAGCACACAGACAAGACCAGGCCCCGAACAAGAGGGGGCAGUGAAGGGUCGUCCCCACGGAAGGGCGCAACGUCGCUCCUGUGCCCACUGAGCACUCAGAAAGCUGCAGAGGGAGGGCGGGCUUGGUGCUGCUCACCCCUGCCCCCGGGAGGCCCAGGACGGGGCGCAGUGGCUCUCAGCCCCCCUCGUCAGCAGCUAGGGUAGGACGGGGUGGCCAGUGCCGCCAGCUGGACUGUGCCCAUGAGGACGAGGUGGACGCACUCCCAGGCGGGCAGCAGCGAUGCUUAUGAGGAGUCUCAGUGGCUGGGCGUGGGCUGUGGAGGCCGGCCGGGGUUGGGGUGGGAGAUCAGGUCAACACACCCCCAGGGCCUGGCAGCUGGGCGCCAGGUCUCAGGAGCCUCCCGAGAACUCUGCUCACAGGGCAGGUGGGGGUCACCCUCCGCCCGCUCUGCUGCCCUCAGUCACAGCUCCCAGGAUGAGUCCCCGUGUGCACUCACACCCACCUGUCCAGAUCCCCGCCCGCUUUGGCUGGUCACGCGAGCCACCAGAGUCCAGGGGAAAGCGAGUUGGGCUCCCCUCUGUGUCCCUUGGUGGACACCCCCCAGUCCCGUUCUUCUGGGCACACCCUGGGCCAUGCGCUGGGCACUUGCUGGGACAGGUUUGCUGGGGUCUCCAGCUCUACAGCAGCAAGCUGCAGUGUGGCCUCCUCAAGACGGCCCCCACCUCAGCUGCCCACGGCCAGGUGAGAAGCUGCACCUUCCAGACACCAGAUGGCUGUGCAGGCCCUGGAUCAGCUGAGCUCAGGCUGCCUUUCUGAUCCACAGGACCCUGUGCCACAUGUGUCCCCUGUGGUGCUGUGUCCUCCCUGUCCCCUGAGGUGAGCCAGCACCACUGUCCCUGCUGCCACUCCUUGGCUCCAGUGUGCUCUUUUCUUUCUUUUUAAUGCACCCAAAUUUCUGAGUCUCUAAAAGACUCUUGUCAGAUGCUGAAUGCCAUUGGAGUCCCUCCGUCACCACCUCACUGAGGACCUGUGUCCCAGCACUUGAACCCUGAGCCCUGGACUCUGCCAUCUGGACUCCCCCGAGCCCUGUCUUUGGAGCGUGUUGUGCAGCCCGUAACAC
rnacentral:lncRNA from 1 species